GGGCUGGAACUCUCGGGGUUCAGCCUUGCUGAAUUAUUCACCCUUGUCUUUUGCGUACUUCUUGUUUCCUUGGUGGGUUCGCCCACCACUAGGACAAACAUAAACCUUUUGUAAUUGCAAUCAGCGUCAGUAACAAAUUAAUAAUUACAACUUUCAACAACGGAUCUCUUGGUUCUGGCAUCGAUGAAGAACGCAGCGAAAUGCGAUAAGUAGUGUGAAUUGCAGAAUUCAGUGAAUCAUCGAAUCUUUGAACGCACAUUGCGCCCUUUGGUAUUCCAAAGGGCAUGCCUGUUCGAGCGUCAUUUGUACCCUCAAGCUUUGCUUGGUGUUGGGCGUCUUGUCUCUAGCUUUGCUGGAGACUCGCCUUAAAGUAAUUGGCAGCCGGCCUACUGGUUUCGGAGCGCAGCACAAGUCGCACUCUCUAUCAGCAAAGGUCUAGCAUCCAUUAAGCCUUUUUUUCAACUUUUGACCUCGGAUCAGGUAGGGAUACCCGCUGAACUU
rnacentral:rRNA from 1 species